rnacentral:rRNA from 1 species
GACGGAGGAUGCAAGCGUUAUCCGGAAUUAUUGGGCGUAAAGCGUCCGCAGGUGGCUGUUCAAGUCUGCUGUCAAAGCGCAGAGCUUAACUCUGUACAGGCGGUGGAAACUGAAGAGCUAGAGUAUGGUAGGGGUAGAGGGAAUUCCCGGUGUAGCGGUGAAAUGCGCAGAUAUCAGGAAGAACACCCGUGGCGAAAGCGGCUCUCUGGAACGGUACUGACGCUGAGACGCGAAAGCGUGGGGAGCGAACAGG